UGUCGAGUCACCAAGGCUUGC
rnacentral:siRNA from 1 species